GAUGAACGCUGGCGGCGUGCCUAAUACAUGCAAGUCGAGCGAACAGACGAGGAGCUUGCUCCUUUGACGUUAGCGGCGGACGGGUGAGUAACACGUAGGUAACCUACCUAUAAGACUGGGAUAACUUCGGGAAACCGGAGCUAAUACCGGAUAAUAUUUCGAACCGCAUGGUUCGAUAGUGAAAGAUGGCUUUGCUAUCACUUAUAGAUGGACCUGCGCCGUAUUAGCUAGUUGGUAAGGUAACGGCUUACCAAGGCAACGAUACGUAGCCGACCUGAGAGGGUGAUCGGCCACACUGGAACUGAGACACGGUCCAGACUCCUACGGGAGGCAGCAGUAGGGAAUCUUCCGCAAUGGGCGAAAGCCUGACGGAGCAACGCCGCGUGAGUGAUGAAGGUCUUCGGAUCGUAAAACUCUGUUAUUAGGGAAGAACAAACGUGUAAGUAACUGUGCACGUCUUGACGGUACCUAAUCAGAAAGCCACGGCUAACUGCGUG
rnacentral:rRNA from 1 species